ACCCAGUUGAUGAGUCCUAGACAGGACGAAACGCGUGUCCUAGAC
rnacentral:hammerhead_ribozyme from 1 species